rnacentral:pre_miRNA from 1 species
UCAACCUGUGAUACUCAAACUGGGGGCUCUUUUGUUUUUUUCCUGGAAGAAAAGUGCCGCCAGGUUUUGAGUGUUACCGAUUGA